rnacentral:rRNA from 1 species
GACGAACGCUGGCGGCGUGCCUAAUACAUGCAAGUCGAACGCUUCUUUCCUCCCGAGUGCUUGCACUCCAUUGGAAAGCGGAGUGGCGGACGGGUGAGUAACACGUGUGUAACCUACCCAUCAGAGGGGGAUAACACUUGGAAACAGGUUCUAAUACCGCAUAACAGUUUAUGCCGCAUGGCAUAAGAGUGAAAGGCGCUUUCGGGUGUCGCUGAUGGAUGGACCCGCGGUGCAUUAGCUAGUUGGUGAGGUAACGGCUCACCAAGGCCACGAUGCAUAGCCGACCUGAGAGGGUGAUCGGCCACACUGGGACUGAGACACGGCCCAGACUCCUACGGGAGGCAGCAGUAGGGAAUCUUCGGCAAUGGACGAAAGUCUGACCGAGCAACGCCGCGUGAGUGAAGAAGGUUUUCGGAUCGUAAAACUCUGUUGUUAGAGAAGAACAAGGACGUUAGUAACUGAACGUCCCCUGACGGUAGCUAAACAGAAAGCCACGGCUAACUACGUG